CCUACGGGAGGCUGCAGUGGGGAAUAUUGGACAAUGGGGGCAACCCUGAUCCAGCCAUGCCGCGUGUGUGAAGAAGGCCCUCGGGUUGUAAAGAACUUUCAGUGAGGAAGAACGCCUGGUGGUUAAUACCCAUCAGGAAAGACAUCACUCACAGAAGAAGCACCGGCUAACUCCGUGCCAGCAGCCGCGGUAAUACGGAGGGUGCGAGCGUUAAUCGGAAUUACUGGGCGUAAAGCGCGCGUAGGUGGCUUGAUAAGCCGGUUGUGAAAGCCCCGGGCUCAACCUGGGAACGGCAUCCGGAACUGUCGAGCUAGAGUGCAGGAGAGGGAGGUAGAAUUCCCGGUGUAGCGGUGAAAUGCGUAGAGAUCGGGAGGAAUACCAGUGGCGAAGGCGGCCUUCUGGACUGACACUGACACUGAGGUGCGAAAGCGUGGGUAGCAAACAGGAUUAGAUACCCUGGUAGUC
rnacentral:rRNA from 1 species